AUCGCUUCUUGGCCUUUUGGCUAAGGUCAAGUGUAGUAUCUCUUCUUAUCAGUUUAAUAUCUGAAACGUCCUCUCUCCAGGGACAAUAUAUUAAAUGGAUUUUGGAGCAGGGAGUUGGAAUAGGAGAUUGCUCUGUCCGCUCCACGCAUCGACUUGGUAUUGCAGUACCUCCGGAACGGUGCAGUGAAA